AUGGCUCAGGAUGAACGCUAGCUACAGGCUUAACACAUGCAAGUCGAGGGGAAACGAUAUUGGAAGCUUGCUUCCGAUAGGCGUCGACCGGCGCACGGGUGAGUAACGCGUAUCCAACCUGCCCACCACUUGGGGAUAACCUUGCGAAAGUAAGACUAAUACCCAAUGACGUCUCUAGAAGACAUCUGAAAGAGAUUAAAGAUUUAUCGGUGAUGGAUGGGGAUGCGUCUGAUUAGCUUGUUGGCGGGGUAACGGCCCACCAAGGCAACGAUCAGUAGGGGGUUCUGAGAGGAAGGUCCCCCACAUUGGAACUGAGACACGGUCCAAACUCCUACGGGAGGCAGCAGUGAGGAAUAUUGGUCAAUGGGCGAGAGCCUGAACCAGCCAAGUAGCGUGCAGGAUGACGGCCCUAUGGGUUGUAAACUGCUUUUAUAAGGGAAUAAAGUGGGUCACGUGUGACUUUUUGCAUGUACCUUAUGAAUAAGGACCGGCUAAUUCCGUG
rnacentral:rRNA from 1 species